rnacentral:sRNA from 1 species
CAGAGUAAGCGCCUAUGUGUUGAAUCACAUUUUGAAUGGUGCUUACGGGAUGCCUCCGGGUGUAAACAAGGGGGCACUACUAAAC